rnacentral:rRNA from 1 species
AAAUUGAAGAGUUUGAUCAUGGCUCAGAUUGAACGCUGGCGGCAGGCUUAACACAUGCAAGUCGAACGGUAGCAGGAAGAAGCUUGCUUCUUUGCUGACGAGUGGCGGACGGGUGAGUAAUGCUUGGGAAUCUGGCUUAUGGAGGGGGAUAACUACGGGAAACUGUAGCUAAUACCGCGUAGUAUCGGGAGAUGAAAGACUGGGACCGCAAGGCCAGUUGCCAUAAGAUGAGCCCAAGUGGGAUUAGGUAGUUGGUGGGGUAAAGGCCUACCAAGCCGACGAUCUCUAGCUGGUCUGAGAGGAUGACCAGCCACACUGGAACUGAGACACGGUCCAGACUCCUACGGGAGGCAGCAGUGGGGAAUAUUGCACAAUGGGGGGAACCCUGAUGCAGCCAUGCCGCGUGAAUGAAGAAGGCCUUCGGGUUGUAAAGUUCUUUCGGUGAUGAGGAAGGGUGGUGUUUUAAUAGAACAUUACAUUGACGUUAGUCACAGAAGAAGCACCGGCUAACUCCGUGCCAGCAGCCGCGGUAAUACGGAGGGUGCGAGCGUUAAUCGGAAUGACUGGGCGUAAAGGGCACGCAGGCGGUGACUUAAGUGAGAUGUGAAAGCCCCGAGCUUAACUUGGGAAUUGCAUUUCAUACUGGGUUGCUAGAGUAUUUUAGGGAGGGGUAGAAUUCCACGUGUAGCGGUGAAAUGCGUAGAGAUGUGGAGGAAUACCGAAGGCGAAGGCAGCCCCUUGGGAAAAUACUGACGCUCAUGUGCGAAAGCGUGGGGAGCAAACAGGAUUAGAUACCCUGGUAGUCCACGCUGUAAACGCUGUCGAUUUGGGGAUUGGGCUUAGAGCUUGGUGCCCGUAGCUAACGUGAUAAAUCGACCGCCUGGGGAGUACGGCCGCAAGGUUAAAACUCAAAUGAAUUGACGGGGGCCCGCACAAGCGGUGGAGCAUGUGGUUUAAUUCGAUGCAACGCGAAGAACCUUACCUACUCUUGACAUCCUAAGAAGAACUCAGAGAUGAGUUUGUGCCUUCGGGAACUUAGAGACAGGUGCUGCAUGGCUGUCGUCAGCUCGUGUUGUGAAAUGUUGGGUUAAGUCCCGCAACGAGCGCAACCCUUAUCCUUUGUUGCCAGCGAUUCGG